CCUACGGGGCGCAGCAGUGGGGAAUAUUGGUCAAUGGACGCAAGUCUGACCCAGCAACGCCGCGUGAAGGAAGAAUGCUUUCUGGUUGUACACUUCUUUUAAUGGGGAAGAGCAGCAGACGGUACCUCUUGAAUAAGCCACUGCUAACUACGUGCCAGCAGCCGCGGUAAUACGUGGGUGGCAAGCGUUGUCCGGAUUUACUGGGUGUAAAGGGCGUGCAGCCGGAGAGACAAAUCAGAUGUGAAAUCCACGGGCUCAAACCGUGAACUGCUGUUGAAACUGUUUCCCUUGAGGGUCGGAGAGGUACACGGAAUGCGGUGUGUAGCGGUGAAAUGCGUAGAUAUAAGGAAGAACACCAGUGGCGAAGGCGGAUUACUGGACGAUAACUGACGGUGAGGCGCGAAAGCGUGGGGAGCAAACAGGAUUAGAUACCCGGGUAGUC
rnacentral:rRNA from 1 species